GUAAAAUUAGUGCAAAACGUGCCUGAAAUUGAUAGCUAUUGAUUACAUUCCCUUUGUAGGUCUACAAAUAAAACUAAUGGGAGGCUACUUACAAUACAAUUACAAAAGACAACAAACAUAUUAUAAAUAAGACAUAUAACAAAUAUAAGAAGUACACCAAUAUUGUAUUAUUAAUAGAAUAUUUUGAUUAAAUAAGCUAUAAGAAUUAAUAAUGUUUUUGCAGGUAGAUAUUAAAAAUGAACUAUAUUUUGCAAAAAUAAAGACAACUUUAUUUUAAGAUUAGUUUAGAUAUUAGAGUAGAAGCUCCAUAUAACUAUUGAUAGCAAUGUAACCGAGUGAUUGUGAAAUUAUUAUAGAUCUGACUGUUCACGCAGUACAUACAAUAAAAUAGGAACGAUACAGAGAAGAUUAGCAUGGCCCUCGCGCAGAGAUGACACGCAGAAUCGUGAAGCGUUUUCAAAUUUAAAAAAAAAAAAAAAAAAAAAAGAAAAUACAUUGAAAUCUAAAAUUUAUUAAAUAUUACUAAUGAAAUGUGAUGGAUAUGACUAUGAGCAUUGUUUCUUUCAGAUAUUUUCUCCGUGGGUGUGGUCACUUGAAAACUUAAGGGGGGAGAAGUGCACUGACAUUUUUGAUGGUUUGGACACUAUUUAAAGUGAUGACGACGUCCCCCACUUCCACGCCGAGACCCGAGGACUGGGCCAGAAACAAGACGCUGGAGGCGAUGUAGAGGGCGCUGCCGUCGGCGUGGAGCGUCACCGACAACGGGAUGACGAAGGAGCUGACCUUGUGGUUGAUUCCACUCCGGUCAGCUGACGUCAUCAUGUCAGGCAUGGCUACAGAUCUGGUGUGAACAUAUUUUUAAUUUUUAAAAGCGUUGAACUUAAUUCAUUUUAAACCAACAGAUUUACCAUUCUUUAAAAACCUAAAAAGUGGCGGCGAAGGCUAUGAAGAACGGACGAACACAACGAAGGAUCAACACAUACGGGUUCUUCCUGGUCAGUAUGAAGAGGAUGCCGGGUAGGAUGAUGAAGAGGUGGAUGGCAAGUCCG